CACUUCCUUCUCAGCUCUCCUGCACUUCUGCCUCCUGCACUCACAUAGCCCUUGGGGGGGCUUCCUAAUCCUCCUCCCUCAACUUUGCUUUCCUGGCCAGGAAAAGGAGGAGCCAGAGGGGCAGUGAUACCAUCUGCACUGCCUGGGCAGCAGCUUUGCCUUCCUGUGUCCCAACGUAAGCUUAUUCAAUAGGUGUGGUACAAAGAAUCGCCUCAGUCUUUAACAUAUUCCAGCUUUUUAAGGAACUUCAGAAGCAAGUGCAAAACCGCCCAGGUGAAGAUCCCAUCUGGGCUGUCCUUAUCCAGAAUGUUCACCUUCCUGAACUCCACCACUAUAAAUUCUGUUUUUUUUUCCUCAAGAUUUUGUAUAUGUUUAGUUUAAACCUAUAUCGGUAUAUGUUGUAUCUUACAUUAUAUUGUUAUCCUACAUUAUAAGUUCCUUGAGAACAGAAA